UUCGCAAUGCCCGAAAGGGUGACGAAGCGACGCCGCGUGUGGGAUGAAGGCCCUCGGGUUGUAAACCACUGUCGGGAGUUAAGAAUUGUAGGGGUGCUAAUAGUAUUUCUACUUGACUAAGGCUCCGGAGGAAGCCACGGCUAACUCUGUGCCAGCAGCCGCGGUAAUACAGAGGCGGCAAGCGUUGUUCGGAAUUAUUGGGCGUAAAGAGCAUGUAGGCGGCUAUGUAAGUCGGUUGUGAAAGCCUUCCGCUUAACGGAAGAAUGGCGGUCGAAACUGCAUGGCUUGAGUGCGGGAGGGGAGAGUGGAACUUCUGGUGGAGCGGUGAAAUGCGUAGAUAUCAGAAGGAACGUCGGCGGCGAAAGCGACUCUCUAGACCGUAACUGACGCUGAGUGUGCGAAAGCUAGGGGAGCAAACGGGAUCAGAUACCCCGGUAGUCCUAGCCGUAAACGAUGGGCACUAAGUAGAGGGGUUUU
rnacentral:rRNA from 1 species